UACGGAGGGUGCAAGCAUUAAUCGGAUUUAUUGGGCGUAAAGGGCGCGUAGGCGGGUUGUUAAGUCGGAUGUGAAAUCCCGAAGCUCAACUUCGGAACAGCAUUUGAAACUGGCAGUCUAGAGGGUAGACGGAGAAAAUAGAAUUCCACAAGUAGCGGUGAAAUGCGUAGAUAUGUGGAAGAAUACCGGUGGCGAAGGCGAUUUUCUAGUUUAUACCUGACGCUGAGGCGCGAAAGCAAGGGGAUCAAACAGG
rnacentral:rRNA from 1 species